rnacentral:lncRNA from 1 species
CAGCUACGUAGUGGCCAUGCUGGUUUGCAUCAGCAAUGUAUCCGAUGUCCCGUCGUGUGCUGGAGAACAUCAAAGGCAUUCCUGGAGGACCUCUCCCCUCUUCUCAGUGCCAGGCCUGAGCCAGUCAAAGCUCUGAUCCUUCUUUAUUGCUCACUGUACUGGCCAGACUCUCCAGUACAAUGCUGAAUAGAAGCAUGAGCACAGACAUCCCUAUCUCCUUCCCGGUCUUCGUGGGAACGCAUUCAUCUUUGACCCUUAAAUAUGUUAGCUGCAGUCAUCAUGAAAGUCUUAAAUAAGGAAUGGAGGUUGGAUUUCUUCAAAUGCUUAUUCUGCAUCUGAUGUGCAUAUCUGCAAUUGGCAAACACUCCUUCCUCUAUCAAAUGAUGUUCUCUCCAGCUUUCUGCCCAAGAGCUGUCCAGAUGAACAGAUCAAGGGCUCUCUUGCCCUCUGGAGCCCAGGUGGGUUCAGCCAAUGGGGAAACUCAGCAGGAAAUAGGUGAGGGAGAGUGGGUUGAAGAUAUUUAUUCCCCUAGUCCCCUUGUGAUCUCCUGGCACUCAGCCCAAACCUUCCAAACUGUUACUUCAUUAAACUCUCC